UACGUAGGGUGCGAGCGUUAUUCGGAAUUACUGGGCGUAAAGCGCGCGCAGGCGGUCGUGUAAGACAGGUGUGAAAUCCCCGGGCUUAACCUGGGAACUGCAUUUGUGACUGCACGGCUGGAGUGCGGCAGAGGGGGAUGGAAUUCCGCGUGUAGCAGUGAAAUGCGUAGAUAUGCGGAGGAACACCGAUGGCGAAGGCAAUCCCCUGGGCCGGCACUGACGCUCAUGCACGAAAGCGUGGGGAGCAAACAGG
rnacentral:rRNA from 1 species